rnacentral:rRNA from 1 species
AGAGUUUGAUCCUGGCUCAGGACGAACGCUGGCGGCGUGCCUAACACAUGCAAGUCGAACGGAGAAUUUCAAAGAGCUUGCUUAGAGAAAUUUUUAGUGGCGGACGGGUGAGUAACGCGUGGGUAACCUACCCAUAAACCCGGGACAACCCUUGGAAACGAGGGCUAAUACCGGAUAAUCUUUUGGCUUGGCAUCAAGCUAAAAGAAAAGGUGGCCUCUGAAGAUGCUACCGAUUAUGGAUGGACCCGCGUCUGAUUAGCUAGUUGGUGGGGUAAAGGCCUACCAAGGCGACGAUCAGUAGCCGGCCUGAGAGGGUGAACGGCCACACUGGGACUGAGACACGGCCCAGACUCCUACGGGAGGCAGCAGUGGGGAAUCUUCCGCAAUGGACGAAAGUCUGACGGAGCAACGCCGCGUGUAUGAUGAAGAUCUUCGGAUUGUAAAGUACU